UUGUCUGGCUUCUCUUGAAUUCAUUGUGUCUGUGAGCCUCUGUGGUUUGUGGGCAGUAUCAAGAAUGUGAAGCAAAAUGAAAUGUUCCUCUCGCUAUCCAGCGCGGAAUUCUUUUGAUGCGAUUGGACGUCGAGGAACUACACUU
rnacentral:snoRNA from 1 species